GUGUUGUACUAGGCUGGUGUCA
rnacentral:siRNA from 1 species